CCACCCUCCCCCGUCUCGAACGGUUCAGAGACGAGCUCGUCUCUCACCGCCUAACUCCGUCGCCUUCCGCCCGCCUGUAAUCGCCCACGGCGGCGGACGGUGGCCAGUCCCCUCCAUCUUCACACCAUAGAACCCCCCCAACCUCCUCGUUCCAAAUCCCUAGUCCAUGUUCCUCGAAUCCUCUCAGUUCGUUUCAAAUCUUGGAUCGAAAAUCAACCCCGAACCCUAGCUUACCCAAUUGACCCCAAAUCAACACCAUAUAACCACCGUACUGCCCUUACCCCAAAUCUCAUAACGGUUUCCCUCGAAUAUGCUCUUAACCCGUCGAAUCUUAAUCGGAAGAUAAGGCCCAAAACUAAAUCAAUGGGGUUAAUUGGCGAUUGAGAUCACAAUUUGUCUUGACUAUGUAUUUUCAUUUGAACACACAUGGUCAAGACCCCUGUGGUCAAAAAUCAAGAGUUUGAAGAAAGUACUUCGAAGUUUGGCCAGUGUUUAGGUAAUUCCAUUUAAUCUUUUUUUUUUCUUUCUUUCAUUUGUUCUUGAUUUCUGUUUUGUGAACUUUGUUUCUCAGCAUUUUAAUUUGUUUAAUUUCUGGUUCAAUUAGGUCUGUUACGUUAAAUUUGUUUGCAUUUUGUUUAUAAUUCUGAUUCCAUUAUUAGAGCAAUGACUAGUAUAGUCAAUUUGGCAAUUAAUUGUCUCAAAGGACGAAUCUCAAAAUAUUCAUUCCCCGAUUGUUUCUUGCUAAUUUGAAUUCUGAAUUAUUUGUGUGUGAAGUAUUUUUUUUGUUUGAUUCCGAUUCAAUGGUAAAACUUGUAGGUUCAGAGAUUGAUACCAUUUGUUUUUGGUCACCUAUUGUUUUUGUUUUAUGGUUUGAGUUGGAGGUAUUCUGAACUUUCAAGUAAAACGAGAAUGAAUUCUUUUAAGUUCAGGAAAGUAAAAAGUAUGGGGUAAUAACAAAAGAUCUUUUCUACAACUGUAAAGAAGAAAAGAGGCUGGAAAGGGUUCAAGGGUUGGGUAUAAAUGCAGGGGGAGGACUUCAGAAAAAGGAGAACUUGGAAAAGAGGAUUUUUGAGACUUGAAGAAAAUAACAUUUUGAGAGCUCAAAAAUCAGUUGAGAGAGAGUUUUAAGAAUUGGAAAAACCUAGAGAUUCUUGAGAAAAGAUAGUUUGAAAGUGAGAAGGGAGUUAGAGAUAAAAGAUACAGAGAGUAUUAUUCCAUUGAAGCUUUAGAAUAGUUGCAAUUCCUAGUUAAUCAAUCUAUCCUUUCUAGUUAGAAAUCUUACAGUUGAGGUUUCAGUAGUUCAUCAGAAGGGUUGAGCGAUUAUUGGGUCCAGUUGAACUGUUUUUCUGAUUGAACUCUAGCUUGCUGAAAGUUUCAAGUGUUUAUGGUUGCAUUUUUAAGUUGGUUUGGUUUGUUUGGUAUUGCUGUGGGUCAAUCUCUCUUUCUGUUUGGUCCUGUUUGGUGAUGGGGUCACUGAUUCAUUCCUGGGUUGAACUUGCUAUGUUGUUGUUAUAUUGCUGCUGUAUUUAUUGCUGCUGAUUACUCCUUCUUUCUUCUUCUUCUGAUUCAAUUACCAGGUAUGUACUAAUUCCUGAACAACAUGAGAAAUAAAAAGUUGAAGGUUCUGUAAUCAAGUUUGAAGAGAAAUGAUAGUCGUUGCAUGUUUCCUUGUCAACUGAUUCCUAGACCUCAGUAUAGUUGUUUUAUGUGUUUUCUUUUAGUUUAGUCACCAUGUAUGGCCCUUUACAUCUGUAAUGUUGUAUUUCAUCUUGAAGUUUGGAUUUGAACUUGUUGUAAUGUACUGAUUAGUACUGUUUGAACCUUUAACGGUAUUGUUUGAUGAAGGAAAAAGAUAGAAAGAUGGAAAAAAUACAAAAAACCAGCGCAACUUUUCCCUUCUUCUCCAUUCCCUUUUUAAAUAAAAUCUAUUAAUUUAUGUCUUGGUUUGUUAAAUGCUUGUGGUGGUACGGUAACGUGAAUUUAUUUUUUCUAAACCUUUAUUGAAAUGAUAUGGUAUAGUUAACUUUAGAUGUUUCUCUU
rnacentral:lncRNA from 1 species